rnacentral:rRNA from 1 species
AACGAACGCUGGCGGCGCGCUUAACACAUGCAAGUCGAACGAGAAGCUGUAGCAAUACAGUUGUACAGUGGCGAACGGGUGAGGAAUACAUGGGUAACCUACCCUCGAGUGGGAAUAACCAGCCGAAAGGCUGGCUAAUACCGCGUACGCUUCCCAAUCUGCGGGUUGGGAAGGAAAGCUCUACCGUGGGUAGAGCGCUCAAGGACGGGCUCAUGUCCUAUCAGCUUGUUGGAGGGUAACGGCCUACCAAGGCAACGACGGGUAGCUGGUCUGAGAGGACGAUCAGCCACACUGGCACUGCGACACGGGCCAGACUCCUACGGGAGGCAGCAGUGAGGAAUAUUGCGCAAUGGGCGACAGCCUGACGCAGCGACGCCGCGUGGGGGAUGAAGGUCUUCGGA